GUAGGUGGCAAGCGUUGUCCGGAAUUAUUGGGCGUAAAGCGCGCGCAGGCGGUCCUUUAAGUCUGAUGUGAAAGCCCACGGCUCAACCGUGGAGGGUCAUUGGAAACUGGGGGACUUGAGUACAGAAGAGGAAAGCGGAAUUCCAAGUGUAGCGGUGAAAUGCGUAGAGAUUUGGAGGAACACCAGUGGCGAAGGCGGCUUUCUGGUCUGUAACUGACGCUGAGGCGCGAAGGCGUGGGGAGCAAACAGGAUUAGAUACCCUGGUAGUCCACGCCGUAAACGAUGAGUGCUAAGUGUUAGGGGGUUUCCCGCCCCCCUUAGUGCUGCAGCUAACGCAUUAAGCACUCCGCCUGGGGAGUACGGCCGCAAGGCUG
rnacentral:rRNA from 1 species